rnacentral:misc_RNA from 1 species
UGGAAGUAAAAGUCGUAACAAGGUUUCCGUAGGUGAACCUGCGGAAGGAUCAUUACAGUGCCCGGUCGCCGCCCCCUAAAGGCUGGCGACCGAACAGGCCACCCUUGUCUACCUUACCACUGUUGCUUCGGCGGGACCGUCCCCUUAGGGGGGCGACCCGGGGCUGGCUUAACCGCCGUCCGGGCGAGCUCCCGCCAGAAGACACUUAAAUUCUGUUGAUCAGUGACUGUCUGAGAUUAUAUUUAAUCAUUAAAACUUUCAACAACGGAUCUCUUGGUUCCAGCAUCGAUGAAGAACGCAGCGAAAUGCGAUAAGUAAUGUGAAUUGCAGAAUUCCGUGAAUCAUCGAAUCUUUGAACGCACAUUGCGCCCUCUGGUAUUCCGGGGGGCAUGCCUGUCCGAGCGUCAUUUGCAACCCUCAAGCCCGGCUUGUGUGAUGGGUGCCGUCCCCUACGGGACGCGCCCCGAAGGCAAUGGCGGCGUCGCGGUUAUCCGAUCAGCCAAAGUGUAUGGGGCUUUGUCACUCACUUUACGGCCCGGACCGGCGCCAGUCCGAAUCAAUCUUUUUUCUAAAGUUGACCUCGGAUCAGGUAGGGAUACCCGCUGAACUUAAGCAUAUCAAUAAGCGGAGGAAAAGAAACCAACAGGGAUUGCCUCAGUAACGGCGAGUGAAGCGGCAAGAGCUCAAAUUUGAAA